AUACCUUUCUCGGCCUUUUGGCUAAGAUCAAGUGUAGUAUCUGUUCUUAUCAGUUUAAUAUCUGAUAUGUGUGCCAAUGGUUCACACGAUAUUAAAUUUAUUUUUUGAGGGGGAAAGCCUGUUAAGGUAGCUUGCUAUCUGGGCUUUCAUGCGUCGCCUUUGUGUUGCACUACUGCAUAGGCCCGGCGCGCUCCAC